UAACGCGAAGAACCUUACCUGGGUUUGACAUAUAGGGAAAUCCUCCAGAGAUGGGGGGUCCGUAAGGGUCCUAUACAGGUGGUGCAUGGCUGUCGUCAGCUCGUGUCGUGAGAUGUUGGGUUAAGUCCCGCAACGAGCGCAACCCUCGUCCUAUGUUGCCAGCACGUUAUGGUGGGGACUCAUAGGAGACUGCCGGGGUCAACUCGGAGGAAGGUGGGGAUGACGUCAAGUCAUCAUGCCCCUUAUGUCCAGGGCUUCACGCAUGCUACAAUGGCCGGUACAAAGGGCUGCGAAGCCGUAAGGUGGAGCGAAUCCCAAAAAGCCGGUCUCAGUUCGGAUUGGGGUCUGCAACUCGACCCCAUGAAGUCGGAGUCGCUAGUAAUCGCAGAUCAGCAACGCUGCGGUGAAUACGUUCCCGGGUCUUGUACACACCGA
rnacentral:rRNA from 1 species